AAUUUAUUGUUUUGGUAUUAUUAUUAUUAUUAUUAUUAUUGCCACUGCAAUAAAUAGCAAUAUUAACAAACUUUAUUUUUUUGUAUCAGUUGUAUUAAUUAUUCACCCCACUCAUGACUCCGUGCCGUACCUACUUCUGAUUAUACAAACUAGUUAACACUACACCUCGCAGUCAGAUCUGCUCAGUUGAGAAAAGCGCUACACAGAACAAACUGCUACAUUGCUUUGCCAAUUUUCUUUGGACCGAACUGCUGGGAACUGAGGUUUUUGUUCCCUUUUGUGGGUUUUUUCUGUUCUCCCUGGUCUGUGACUUCUCCCUUCAUCCACCAGAUGGCACCAGAGGCUGUUUUCCUGGAAGGGCGUGCCUAUGUUUCAUUAUCCAAUCAUCCUGAGGCUUAAGAGGAGCAGGACAGUCUGCACUUCUUCGCCCGAGUGUUAGCCAGUAAUGGUACUCUGAGCCCUCCUGAGUGUACUCUCUGAGCUUUAUCCGAGAAGAACUCUUUGUAAUCACUCUUGUUGCUUCUCUGUUCUCAGGUUUUUCCUCGUGACGCCAUGGACUCGGGCAACUCACUGGUUGCCCGAGUCCCACCUUCACCUCCUCCGUUUGAUCACAAACCACUCCUGGACUCUCCAGCUGGUAGUCAGACUCUGUCUUCCUCCACGCCUGAACUUACCUGUCCGCCCUCCACCGCAGCCUCCACAUUUCCACACGGAACCUCCCUGAUCGAGCCACCCUCUGGAACCCGGAUUACCUUCUAGACCCAACACAAAGGAUUCAUACCCCAGGGCCCUCAGUCAACUCUCUCCCCAAAGGAAUAUUCCAUCAUUACAAUGUACCUACGACUCCUUGAACCUGCCCCAGGGAUUAUUCUCACCCGACCUCUCUUGCCUUAUUGUAUAAAUAAACAUCCUCUAACUGA